GGAUUAGAUACCCUGGUAGUCCACGCCGUAAACGAUGAGUGCUAGACGUCGGAAAUUAGUUUUCGGUGUCGUAGUUAACGCAUUAAGCACUCCGCCUGGGGAGUACGGUCGCAAGAUUAAAACUCAAAGGAAUUGACGGGGGCCCGCACAAGCGGUGGAGCAUGUGGUUUAAUUCGACGCAACGCGAAGAACCUUACCAGCUUUUGACAUGCUAGGUCGCGGAUUUUAGAGAUAAAAUCCUUCAGUUUUGCUGGACCUAGUACAGGUGCUGCAUGGCUGUCGUCAGCUCGUGCCG
rnacentral:rRNA from 1 species